rnacentral:rRNA from 1 species
UACCUGCAGCUCGAGUGGUAACCGCUUUUAUUGGGCCUAAAGCGUCCGUAGCCGGUUUAGUAAAUAUUUGGGUAAAUCGUGAGGCUUAACUUCACGAAUUUCGGAUAGACUGCUAAACUUGGGACCGGGGGAGGUCAGAGGUACUCCAGGGGUAGCGGUGAAAUGUUGUAAUCCUUGGAGGACCACCGGUAGCGAAGGCGUCUGACUAGAACGGGUCCGAUGGUGAGGGACGAAGCCCUGGGGCGCAAACCGGAUUAGAUACCCGGGUAGUCCAGGGUGUAAACGAUGUGGGCUUUGUAUUGGAGGUCCCACGUGGGCGUCCAGUGCAGGAGAGAAGUUGUUAAGCCCACCGCCUGGGAAGUACGGUCGCAAGGCUAGAAACUUAAAGGAAUUGGCGGGGGAGCACAGCAACGGGAGGAGCGUGCGGUUU